AUGCGGGGUUUCAAGUGCAAAGGAGACUCGCAGCCCGCCUGCUGGGUGCCCUGCUUCCUGCCCCGUGUCCCCCUCAGACUCCGAGGGCCGGGCACACACAGCUGCGAGCCAGCUGUCGGAGGACAGGCUGCAGCUGAGUCCAGGCCCUUCGCACACAGGCACACAGGACGGCGGUGGGCUUGGCUUAGACGGCCCUGCCCCAGGAGCCCCUCGCAGCUGCUAGCAGCCCUGCCUUCCCUUCGUCCCGGCCCCCCUCCCUCCUGCACUCGCCCUCGGCCUGGCCCCUGUCCUGUCCCCUGCCUGCCGCCCCUGCCCCGCUCCCUUCGAGCGCCUCGCCCGAACUCUGGGGCCCGGGUCUGGGUGCGGGGGGAACGGGCAGGACAGCCAGGUGAGGGAGCGGCCUGGAGCCUGGAGCAGCAGGCUCAGCCAGCGCCCUGGAGCCCUGGUGGGAAAGCGUGCGGGCUCGGGCGGGAGAGCGCCCUCGUCACCCAGCCCCCGGACCCCCUGACUUGGCCAGCCCUGUCCACCACGUGUUCUGGGGGAGCUAAGACAGCUGCGCAUGGGCCUCCUCCGCAGCCCGGGGCCUCAGGAAAUGCCUGCUCUUCCUCUGGCCUUGCCCCCGACGCCUGCCCUCCUCUGCCUCCUGCCGCCUCCUCCCCGCGCGGGGAGGCCAGAGGGCAGGGGCCCGCUGACUCUUGUGCGGCCGCAGGGACGUGUUGUUCCCAGCUGGGGGGCAGGUUUUUCCUGGGCUCCGGGAGGAGCAGAGGCCUGGGGAGAAAGAGGGGGAAGGGGAAGGCCCGGACUGAGGUGCUGCCUGGCUGGGCUGGGAGUGGCCCCCAAAUUAGAGGGCCCGGCCGGCCGAGUGAUUCAGUGGGCCUUGGGCCGGGCGUGCAGUCCGGCCUUAUUGCAGACUGCAAACCACAGACACGAGAGCCUUCCAGGCGCAAGAACCGUAUUUACAGAGGGAUUGCUCCAGAUGCGUCCCCCAAGUGCAGAAAAGAGCUGCAGGACGCGCAAUGGGCCCUGUGCGGGGUGCUGCCCAUCGUCCCUCCCCGCGCCCCCCGACAAGCACCCUCCAGGAGCGGGCCUGGCCAACACCCAAGGCUGUGCAGUGUGCAGGGGACACUGAGGCUGCUGGGUGCCACUGUGCCGAUUGCCCCCCACCCCGCUGCUCCUUGCCAUGUGCUACUCCUUCCACUACCAACAUUUGUCUUCCCUCCUCUUUCUCUUGUCUACUCCAAGUCACCUCCUCCAGGAAGCCCUUCGGAGCCUCUGGUGCUGUGUGUGGCCCCGGAGAGGCCGAAAACAAGAGUGCCCCAGUCCCAUCCCCACAGGAUGCAGGGCUCAGUUCCCGAGCCCCCAGAGUGGCGUCCCCCAGCAGAGCUCCGGCCACCAUACUCGCGGCUUUUUGCCCCACCGCGACUCCUGGGGCCGAGGAGCUGA
rnacentral:lncRNA from 1 species